rnacentral:rRNA from 1 species
GACGAACGCUGGCGGCGUGCUUAACACAUGCAAGUCGAACGGAAAGGCCCUGCUUUUGUGGGGUGCUCGAGUGGCGAACGGGUGAGUAACACGUGAGUAACCUGCCCUUGACUUUGGGAUAACUUCAGGAAACUGGGGCUAAUACCGGAUAGGAGCUCCUGCUGCAUGGUGUGGGUUGGAAAGUUUCGGCGGUUGGGGAUGGACUCGCGGCUUAUCAGCUUGUUGGUGGGGUAGUGGCUUACCAAGGCUUUGACGGGUAGCCGGCCUGAGAGGGUGACCGGCCACAUUGGGACUGAGAUACGGCACAGACUCCUACGGGAGGCAGCAGUGGGGAAUAUUGCACAAUGGGCGGAAGCCUGAUGCAGCAACGCCGCGUGCGGGAUGACGGCCUUCGGGUUGUAAACCGCUUUCGCCUGUGACGAAGCGUGAGUGACGGUAAUGGGUAAAGAAGCACCGGCUAACUACGUG